AUUGCCUGGUUGGAGCUGCUGCUCAGGAACACCUGGAGGACAGGGCAAGGAACUAUGGGCAUGGCAGGAGGUUCCUGGUCCUGGGAAUGACCUAAAAUUAGCCCUGCUGGGCUGGAUGGUGUGGUGGAGCUGUUUGUGGCACAGCAGCUUCCAGGAAAUGCCACGUGUGCCUCCCCAGUGAAGGGUGCCCAUACAAAGGAAGUAACAGCAAUAAGUGCCCACCUUACACUUCUUGAAUUACCUGUAUCAUGCUCCAGGGACAAAGCAGACACAAAAGCAUUAAUUGGGGUGCCUUAGAGGAACACACCAGAAAAGAGAGCAUUGAUAGAAGAGCAGUAGUAGAAUCAAAAAAAGGAAACACUGCUUCAAGGUCUGGUUCCCUUUUGCAAACAUGGGCAUGAUAUGACUAGGAAGUAUUUGCUUUCAGGACAUGGCUACCUUGGUAUCAAAGUUAAGAACAGCUAAAGAAAUAAAUGAUGAAACUACUGCUGGAGCUGGAAUUACUUCACUGAGGUUUCAUGCUGCCAUGGUAUAAAGGAGAAUAAAUACCAUAGGAGCCUCAGUAGUAGAGGAAAUAAUGGUUAGUUUCACUGCUGUAGACCAGGAGCCAGUGGAGUUAUAUAUGUCAGCAGUGACCUUUUCUUAUACGGUACUUCCUUCAAACUGCCCCACCUGAAAAAUCAACCAAUUUUAACAUGCUAUGUGCACUACUCUGGGAUAGAAAUAUAUUUUCUCUAUAGCCAGACCUAUGCCUAUCUGAAAUAUCCAUAUUUCAGCUUCUGUUUACACACCAGCAAGCAGGCAGACGUGGCUUGGGGCUAGUCUAUUCACAGCUGUUCUUCAGUGCAAAGAGGGAUUGAGCACUCACUAAUUUCCUUAGUUCUCACCACCACCCUUUUCUCCUUUUUCCUAUUUUAGAGCCUUUGUUGAUCAGUUGCUUGAAAGUGAAAUUUCUCAAGAAAAGCCAAAGUCAGUGCUAUUAUUGGAGGGGAUAUUAUGAAAGUGCCAACAAAACUCUCCUCUCCCUCCCUCCCCCCUCCCCCCCCCGGAAGAAUUUCGGUUCCUAACUGAAUCAAAAGCGUGUUUGAAGAUUUCACUCUUCCAGUCGGUCUCAAAGCCAUCUGUGGCAACUGCACGAUCCCUAUUGUGUGCCCCAUACUGAAGUCCCAGAAUAUAAUAGCCUCUCAGAUGACGCAUCACACAUACAGUACAGUGUUCAUAUUGAAUAUAUCUAUACUUGAAAGCAGGGCAGCUUGGGUCAAUAACAAAGCUGUUCUACAAUUGUCCAGAAAAAAAAUUUCCAUUUAGACAAAAUCAUCUUUCUGAAACUUUGGUGGAUUUCUGCCUGAAGCCUUCCUGGCUAUCUCUUUAGUUCCUGCCUUUCUGACUGUUUAAUGCCUGGCCUUCUUAGGGCUUGGGUUCAAAGGCAGCCCUGUCAGGGGGGAGUGACCCUGGGCUUUCACUCUUCUACCCGGGAGCUGAAAGAUCCAGGACAGCGGUUCCCAGGCUUUUUGGCCUCGAGGCCCCCCUCAUUAGAUUUGAGACACCUUUCCAUAACUUUUGUAAAUUGAGUGACAUCCACUUUCAAAAACUAGUUUAUGUAUUACAGUGCUUACCUCCCUGCAGAGAGGCUCAGCAAUGGAGGUGGGGAAUCACUUGCUCGACUGGGAAAUCACAGUCAUUUUUAGGCAGCUAUCUUUGUGAAAGCUAAACAUGGGUCUAAUGGUCUUUUUUUUUUUUACUAGAAUAGAUGAGAGAAAUACACAUUUUAAAGAGAUCUAAGUACCAUGACUUGUCUGGUCCAUACUGACCAUUUAAUUCAUAUUAGCAGCAUCUAUUUUAAAAUUUGUCUAGUGAGAAAUUAGAGAAAAAAGUAAUGAGAAUUGAACAACCUGUAAUUUGCCCAUCUUCUUUCCUACUUUAUGUCUCUUUCCUUUUUUGGAAGGAAAGGGGAAGGGGGAGUGGAAGGUGGGAAGGAUUCAGCCUUUGAACACACUGUAGAGAAUGCAGCUUUCCAUCUCUGAAGCUGUUUCCCCAAUCACAGCUAUUCCUAAUUAACUCCCUGACUCAAUUCUCUCAAAUCUGGAACAAUAUGGCAUUUUAUAAUAGUGUUGUAAGAAGGAAUUUUUACUGACUAACUAUUCUGUUUAAAGACUGAUGGGAUAACAUAAACCAUAGCUCCCUGCCACUAGUACUCCAAUGUUGAGAAUGAAGCCAGUUGUUAAAACUGUAACAUUUUUUCUCAAAAU